rnacentral:tRNA from 1 species
GCGGAAGUGGCUCAGUGGUAGAGCAUCUCCUUGCCAAGGAGAGGGUCGGGAGUUCGAAUCUCCUCGUCCGCUCCA